rnacentral:rRNA from 1 species
UACGGAGGGGACUAGCGUUGUUCGGAAUUACUGGGCGUAAAGCGCACGUAGGCGGAUUUGUAAGUCAGGGGUGAAAUCCCGGGGCUCAACCUCGGAACUGCCUUUGAUACUGCAAAUCUCGAGUCCGGAAGAGGUGAGUGGAAUUCCCAGUGUAGAGGUGAAAUUCGUAGAUAUUGGGAAGAACCCCGGUGGCGAAGGCGGCCAUCUGGACCGCAACUGACGCUGAGGCGCGAAAGCGUGGGGAGCAAACAGG